rnacentral:rRNA from 1 species
CCUACGGGAGGCAGCAGUGGGGAAUAUUGCACAAUGGGGGAAACCCUGAUGCAGCGACGCCGCGUUAGUGAAGAAGUAUUUCGGUAUGUAAAGCUCUAUCAGCAGGGAAGAAAAUGACGGUACCUGAUUAAGAAGCCCCGGCUAACUACGUGCCAGCAGCCGCGGUAAUACGUAGGGGGCAAGCGUUAUCCGGAUUUACUGGGUGUAAGGGGAGCGUAGGCGGCAGCACAAGUCUGGAGUGAAAUGCCGGGGCUUAACCCCGGAACUGCUUUGGAAACUGUGCAGCUAGAGUGCAGGAGAGGUAAGUGGAAUUCCUGGUGUAGCGGUGAAAUGCGUAGAGAUUAGGAGGAACACCAGUGGCGAAGGCGGCUUACUGGACUGUAACUGACGUUGAGGCACGAAAGCGUGGGGAGCAAACAGGAUUAGAUACCCCAGUAGUC